AGCGAACGCUGGCGGCAGGCUUAACACAUGCAAGUCGAGCGGGCACUUUCGGGUGUCAGCGGCGGACGGGUGAGUAACGCGUGGGAACGUGCCCUCUGGUUCGGAAUAACUCAGGGAAACUUGAGCUAAUACCGGAUACGCCCUUUUGGGGAAAGGCUUGCUGCCGGAGGAUCGGCCCGCGUCUGAUUCGCUAGUUGGUGAGGUAACGGCUCACCAAGGCGACGACCAGUAGCUGGGCUGAGAGGAUGAUCAGCCACACUGGGACUGAGCCACGGCCCAGACUCCGACGGGAGGCAGCAGUGGGGAAUAUUGGACAAUGGGCGCAAGCUUGAUCCACCCAUGCCGCUUGAGUGAUGAAGGCCUUAGGGUUGUAAAGCUCCUUUAUCCGGGACGAUAAUGACGGUACCGGAGGAAUAAGCCCCGGCUAACUUCGUG
rnacentral:rRNA from 1 species